GGCAGAGGCUGCCCCCUGCCGUCCGGAGGGCAGAACACCGGCUAUGGGUAUCAAAGGGGCCGCCGCCUGGGGCUGGAGUUGCCCUUUCCAAAAGGCUGGUCUUGUUUGAACCUCAGGGUCUUGCAAAAAUAGGCCUGGCCUUGAAUGUGAUUCUCCUUCCUCAGCCUGCCGGGUUGCUGAGAUUACAGCAGCACACCACACCACAUCCCAGAUGUGGGAACGACCCAAGCUCCUGUAAGCAGUAAAUGGAUGGAUGGACACACAGCAUGGGAUAUGCUCACCUAGAGGGACACUUGGCCAGGAGCAGAAGCAAGGUGACACACUGCAGCGUGGAUGGACCUCGAGAACCUUGUGCUCUGUGAGAACCAGAGACUAAAGGACACAGGGGUCAAACUGGUCAGUGGGAAACACCCUAAAGCCAUGUGCCAAGGAGGUGGGCUUCCAGCAAGACCGUGCCUGCUGCACAGGGUCCAGGCUGCAGAAGUCAGUGCUGCCACACGGCCAGCCAAGAGUGACCCACCUCCACAGCGCACUGCAGAUGCUACCAGGCAGGCCGGCCGACAAAAGCAAGGAGUAAACAAAAAACAAAACACACUCAGUAGAUUUCUUUAGCUCCCAGAGUUUCUGGACCAACACGUCCCAACCCCCAAGCCAGGAGCGAGGGGACCUAAAAACACCCCCCUCCCACCAGUGCCGACCGAACCCUGUUUUUAAAUUAAAAAAUAAGCCAGUAUACAUCGUAGAAAAUUUUCUCUUAAAAAUCUCACAAUUUGUAAAUGUAUAUUUUUUCUUUAACAUAAAAGUUUACAAUAUACGGUAAAACAAAAGGCUCAGGAAAAUAAUUUCAAAAAAA